rnacentral:lncRNA from 1 species
CUUUCCCAACAGCUUUUGCCCUUAGUAUGAUUAUACGUGUAUUGGUUGCGUUUAAUAUUGAUUGAAUAAGGGAUAUUUGAGUUAGAUCAAUCUCAUUUGUUACAGGAGAAGGAAGGUUUUUGUGGAAAACAUUUUUGCAGUGUGCACAAUUCGGUGUUUGGAGACAAAUCUUACCGAUUAGUUCUUGAGUAGGACUAUAACCCAAGGAUGGUUGAACAAAGGAGAAGAGGGUUAAACAUGUAGAAAGGAUCGAGAGCCAAUGAGUGCAAUCCAUUUGUUUUCCCUCAAGGAAAAUUUGAAAUCGAGAGAGACAAAAUUGAGAAUACCCGUAUUUCAUGUUUGGUAAGACUGCAUUAUUUUUUCUGCUUUCAAUCGACAUGAUUUGAGAUUGAGAAUUCAAUAUUCGGAUUGUGGUAAUAUUGCAAAAAUCACCUUCCUCUUUACAUUUCAUGUUUGGCAAAAAAUAUUAAGUUGGUCAAACAUAUCUUUCAUACACAUUGCAUAGAAUUUACAAGGCUACAGCGACUACUCACUUAUUAUCUACAUAUUUCAUAUAACUCACAAUUUAUAAAUACUUAACGAGGAAUGAUAUUCAACAUUACUGAUAUUAAGUACCAGUCUAGAUGUCAACUACAUGACAUUAAAUGAUGGAUGUUAGAUAUUUUUCAUCAUUUUGCAUGUAUUUAUUUCUGUUUUGCGAAUGAUUUGCCGCUCCGACUAAUAUUUGCUGCUGCACAACGGGGAUAUCAUUUGGGGGCAGCGCCCCCCGUGGGGGCUCGGGGGCAACGCCCCCGAAAGAGAAUUUUAUUUCAGAAGUCUUUGAAUAGGUGCAUCUGUUCGUUUUUUAAUAGUCACCUCCAGUAGAUGUAUGCAAGGAUUUCAAGGGACACACAUAUUCAAAUGGUUGCCUCAAUUUUUAUAAAUUCUGGGCAAAUUCUCGUUUGCAAAACACAUAAAACAAUUUAUUCUUCUUUCUUUCUCUUGGUAUCAAUCAGUUAUUUUCGAGUGUCUUCUUGGUUUGAUCAAAUAGUCACAAUUUGAAUCAAACGUCUCCAUUGUAUCCUGAGAGAGAUUUUCUAUCAUACCCCAUUUGUGACUUUGUUGGAUAGGGGAGAAACAUCUCUUAAAAGAUAACGUUUUUUUUCGUGCCUUGGAGUUCAUUAAAGUAUUCAGAUUUUCCUACAUUUUUAUCAACAAUGGAUUCACUUUCAUUUAAUUGAAUCUAUCAAAUGUGGUCACUAGAUUGGUGUUCUAAUACUAAUGGUGCUAGAUAACAUUAUUCAUACUCAAAAGCACUUCUAAACAUCAGAUAAGGAAAGGAGACAACUCAAAAAGAAGUAAAGUUAUCCCAAUACUACCUCGUGUGUUGCUAUAGUAGGUUGGUUUAUCUACGUGCUUACAAUUAACCACCAACAGGGCCAAGAUGUCAUUGUCAACUCACUUAACUAAAAAGAAGAAUACACACGAAAGCCCCUCAUGGGGUGGCCGAGUUAGUGGAGUAGGUGAGCGUGAAGGUCUUUGGUCACGAAUUCGAUUCCCCCUACCAAUACUUUCUUGGUCGAGCUUGUCGCACUGGACUUGCCGAGUGCGGUUUACCUGGCUGGAGUGAUUUGCAGGUUAUUGCGUCAGUCCGAGUGUUUACCCAGUACGUACUCGAAGGGUAGCGGCUGCGAGUUCCCCCAUUAUAAAUAAUAAUUAAAAAAAAAAAGAAUACACACGAAAGUUCGACCAUCCUCUUAGGGGCUGUUGAUGGUUGAUGGACUUUCCUAGCCCAUUGAUCAAUCAGGCAAUAGCUGGGUUUCAAAGUCGAUUUCAACCAAAAUUUUUAUACCCAGCCUGGACAUUCAGUUAGAAGUUGAAGGUUCAUCCAUGAUUCCAGUAGAGUCGAACUAGAGAUAAAAAAAUAUUGCAAUACACACAAAAGUAUAAAUUGUAGUAAUGUAUGUGAUUUUUCUCUUCAAGUUGGUCAAUCUGGUCCGGUUUUUAUCAACUUGUGAAAAUUUAAAGUCACAAGAAAGAAGUGAACUUUAUUUAUUUAUAUAUUAUCUUCAACAACUCGAUUUAGAAGAUAUAUAGCUCUCAUGAGCCAGUUAUUAUGCAGUUUGGAUGUAAACUAACCUGAGAAAAUUCGUAGCUGCAGGUCCAUAGGGUCCUUCUACUGAAACUUCAAGAUGACGAUUAGUCAAAGAAGAAGGAGAUGAAAUCAAAUCAUAGAGAUUUUUAGUCCAAUUUCCU